rnacentral:miRNA from 14 species
UCUUGAUGAGAGGAAGAGCACAUUAUUGCGAAGGGAGGAAGGACAGAAGAGAGGGAGCACGUCUUUGAUAUCUUCCUUCUCUUUCCACAUGUGAUGGGGUUGCUCAGACCUGAUCACAGUUCCUGCCUGGCUUU